AACUCAAAAGAGAAAACUGCAAUGUGUCUGGUAAAUGAGUUAGCCCGUUUCAAUAGAGUCCAACACCAGUAUAAACUUCUGAUUCAUUCAAAGAUGUUCUCAGUGCAACUGAGUCUUGGUGAGCGGACAUGGGAAUCUGAAGGCAGCAGUAUAAAGAAGGCUCAACAGCCUGUUGCUAAUAAAGCUUUGGCUGAAUCUACGCUUCUCAAAACGGUUUAGAAGUCACCCAAAAGUAAUGUUAACAUUAACCCAGGCAGUAUAACACUCACUGCGGAACUGAACGUGCUUGCUAUGAAAAGGGGCAGAACCUGCCAUCUACAGGCCAUUAGAUCCAAAGCCAUUCCCAAGUUAUAGAGCUAAUUACAACUUUCGGGGCCUGUACCAUCAGAGGUAUCAUUGCCCAAUGCCUAAGAUCUUUUAUGUUCAGCUCACUGUAGGAAAUAACGAAUUUUGGGGGGAAGGAAAGACUCGACAAGCUGCUAGACACAAUGCUGCAAUGAAAGCCCUCCAAGCACUGCAGAUUGAACCUAUUCCAGAAAGACUGCCUCAGAAUGGUGAAUCAGGAAAGGAUAUGGAUGAUGACAAAGAUGCAGAUAAGUCUGAGAUCAGCUUAGUGUUUGAAAUUGAUCUGAAGUGAAAUAUGUCCGUUAGUUUUGAGGUUAUUAAAGAAAGUGGACCACCACAUAUGAAAAGCUUUGCUACUCGACUGUCAGUAGGAGAGUUCUCUACAGAAGGAGAGGGAAAUAGCAAAACACUCUCCAAGAAGCGUGCUGCAACCACCAUAUUACAGGAGCUUAAAAAACUUCCACCUCUUCCUGUGGUGGAAAAGCCAAAACUAUUUUUUUUUAAAACACCCCAAAACAAUAGUAAAGGCCGGACCAGAAUAUGGCCAAGGAAUGAACCCUAUUAGCUGCCUGGUGCAAAUUCAACAAGCCAAAAAGGAAAAGGAGCAAGAUUAUGUUUUGCUUUCAGAAAGAGAAAUGCCUCGAUGUCAAGAAUUUGUGAUGUAUGUGCAGGUAGGCACUGAAGCUGCUACAGGAACAGGACCUAAUAAAAAGAUAGGCAAAAUAAAUAAAUAAAUAAAUAAAUAAAAUAAAUUUUAAAAAGCUGCAGAACCAAUGCUAUUACAACUUGGUUAUAAAGCAUCUACUAAUCUUCAGGAUCAACUUGAGAAAAUAGGGGAAAACAAAGGAUGGAGUGAUCCAAAGCCUGGGUCUCCUGAACCAACAAAUAAUACUCUAAAAGGAAUUCUUCAUCUGUCUCCUGAUGUUUAUCAAGAGAGGGAAGCCAGCCGCCACAAAGUAAUCUCUGGCACUAUUCUAGGCUAUUUGUCACCCAGAGAUAUGAACCAACCUUCAAGUUAUUUUUUCAGUAUAUCUCCCACAUCGAAUAGUUCAGCUACAAUUGCCAAGGAACUCCUUCUGAAUGGAAAAUCUUCUACAGCUGAAGCCACAGGUUUAAAAGGAAGUUCUCCUACUCCCCCUUGUUCUCCAGUACAACCUUCAAAAAACAACUGGAAUAUUUAGCAAGGAUUCAAGGCUUUCAGGUAUGA